rnacentral:rRNA from 1 species
GCUUACGGCAAUACCAGCUUGGGUACGCCCGAUCUCGUCUGAUCUCGGAAGCUAAGCAGGGUCGGGCCUGGUUAGUACUUGGAUGGGAGACCGCCUGGGAAUACCAGGUGCUGUAAGCA